UGGAAGGGCUAUUCGAUUGACUUGGUGCUGAGUAAAGAUCAAAUGGAUCUUCAUGAUCUCAAAAGAGAAAUUGAGAGAAUGGACAAGGAUAGGCAGAUGAGAGUUUAUUUUGUUAUUUUAUAUUAAGCAAACAUGGCAGGUGGCUUGGAGAGAGAGAUGGAGGGACCCAGAGAUGGAGGCUCAAAGUGUGUAAAGGUGGACAUAAAACUAGUUGUCAGAACCGGCUCAAAAGGAAUUGGUGUUGUAAAAGUAGAAAUAAGACUAAUUUCUGGCACCAGCUACUUUGACACCAAAAAUCAUAUUAUAAUUAGUGGA
rnacentral:lncRNA from 1 species